rnacentral:rRNA from 1 species
CGGGUGAGUAACACGUAGGUAAUUUGCCUUCGGGUGGGGAAUAACAGCCGGAAACGGCUGCUAAUACCGCAUAAUGCAGCGGCUCGACAUCGAGACAGUUGUUAAAGCGGGGGAUCGCAAGACCUCGCGCCUGAAGAAAAGCCUGCGGCAGAUUAGCUAGUUGGCAGGGUAAUGGCCUACCAAGGCGACGAUCUGUAACCGGCCUGAGAGGGCGGUCGGUCACACUGACACUGACAUACGGGUCAGACUCCUACGGGAGGCAGCAGUCGGGAAUUUUGGGCAAUGGGCGAAAGCCUGACCCAGCAACGCCGCGUGAAGGAUGAAAUCCCUCGGGAUGUAAACUUCGUAAGAACAGGAAGAAUAAGGAAGGGUUAAUACUCCUUCUGAUGACGGUACUGUUUGUAAGCUCCGGCUAACUCCGUGCCAGCAGCCGCGGUAAUACGGGGGGAGCAAGCGUUGUUCGGAUUUACUGGGCGUAAAGGGCGCGUAGGCGGCGUGACUAGUCACUUGUGAAAUCUCCGGGCUUAACUCGGAACGGUCAAGUGAUACUGUCGUGCUAGAGUACAGAAGGGGCAACUGGAAUUCUCGGUGUAGCGGUGAAAUGCGUAGAUAUCGAGAGGAAC